ensembl:lncRNA
NNNNNNNNNNNNNNNNNNNNNNNNNNNNNNNNNNNNNNNNNNNNNNNNNNNNNNNNAGUAAAGUUGAAGUUCCGCAUGGUCUCUUUGGGGGCCAUUAUCCCUUCCCUCGAUCCUGGAGACUGGUUCGCCGCCCUCGACAUGAAGGACGCAUACUUCCAUAUAGCAAUCUACCCGCCUCACAGGCGCUUCCUAUGCUUUGUGGUAAACAAGGUGCAUUACCAAUUUGCAGUCCUUCCCUUCGGCCUAUCCUCGGCCCCAAGGGUGUUCACAAAAUGUAUGGCCGUCGUGGCGGCAUACCUUCGUCGGCAAGGGAUACAGAUGUUCCCGUACCUAGACGACUGGCUGGUACGCGGUCGCACCAAAGAGCAAGUUCGAGCUCACGUCCACAUAAUAGUGCACACAUUCAACGAGUUGGGCAUCCUACUCAACGAGGAGAAAUCCACUCUAGAGCCUACCCAGAGAAUAGAAUUUAUUGGGGCAGUCCUAGACUCCAGAUGUGCACGAGCUAUCCUACCGGACAAUCGCUUUCAUACCAUCACAAGCCUCAUUCAAGGGCUCAGGGCCUUCCCAACUACCACGGUGAGGUCGUGCCUUACCCUGCUGGGUCACAUGGCUUCUUGCACAUACAUAACCAGGCAUGCCAGACUUCGGCUUCGCCCACUCCAGACCUGGGUAUCAUCGGUAUACCGCCCAUAUCUGGACAGCUUGAACAUGGUGAUCACGGUCCCGAACUUGGUCCUGACCUCCCUCACCUGGUGGCUAGAUCACAGUGUGGUUUGCGAGGGGAUGCCGUUUCACGCCCCACAACCCUCUCUGCAGCUGGUCACAGACGCUUCAUCUCUGGGUUGGGGUGCCCACCUCAACGAACACCAUACCCAGGGCCUGUGGACUGCACCCCAGCUAUCCCUGCACAUCAAUGUUCGGGAACUGAUGGCGGUACGCUUGGCGUGCCAGGCAUUUCUCAAUCUCCGACGUGGCCGCUGUGUGUUAGUUCUCAUCGACAACACCACGGCCAUGUUUUACAUCAACAGGCAAGGAGGAGCACGUUCGUUGAUUCUAUGCCAAGAGGCCAUUCGUCUGUGGGACUUCUGCAUCGCCCACUCAAUCCAUCUCACGGCAUCGUUCCUUCCUGGAGUCCAGAACACUUUAGCGGACCGACUCAGCAGGUCCUUUCAGACGCACGAGUGGUCAAUUCGUCCGGACAUCAUCUAUUCCGUUUUCCAGAGGUGGGGAUUUCCCCAGGUAGACCUGUUUGCAUCUCGAGCCAACAGGAAGUGCCACGCGUUCUGCUCCCUACAAGGGCGAGCUCCGGGCUCUCUAUCGGAUGCGUUUCUCCUCCCCUGGAAAGACCGCCUGUUUUAUGCCUUUCCUCCAUUCCCUCUGGUCCACAAGGUGCUGCUCAAAUUACGCAGAGACCAGACACAAGUAAUUCUAGUGGCUCCAGCAUGGCCGAGACAACACUGGUACACCACACUGUUAGAGCUCUCGGUUCAGACACCGAUCCCGCUUCCGUUGUGUCCAGAUCUCAUCUCUCAGGACCACGGCCGACUACGUCACCCCGACCUACAAU